rnacentral:rRNA from 1 species
UACGAAGGGGGCGAGCGUUUGUUCGGAUUUACUGGGCGUAAAGGGCGCGUAGGCGGCGGGUCAAGUCGAGUGUGAAAGCCCCGGGCUCAACCUGGGAAUUGCGCUCGAGACUGGUCUGCUUGAGUUCGGGAGAGGAGCGUGGAAUUCCCAGUGUAGAGGUGAAAUUCGUAGAUAUUGGGAAGAACACCGGUGGCGAAGGCGGCGCUCUGGACCGAGACUGACGCUGAGGCGCGAAAGCGUGGGGGAGCAAACAGG